GAUGAACGCUGGCGGCGUGCCUAAUACAUGCAAGUCGAACGAGAAAGACGAUACUCGUAUCGUCUGGACAGUGGCGGACGGGUGAGUAACACGUAGACGACCUGCCCUGGAGAGGGGGAUAACGCGGGGAAACCCACGCUAAUACCCCAUAAGCUCACGGGAAUUAGAACCCUGUGAGAAAAGACUCCGGUGUUUCGGGAGGGGUCUGCGGCCCAUCAGCUAGUUGGUAGGGUAAAGGCCUACCAAGGCGAAGACGGGUAGGGGGCCUGAGAGGGUGGUCCCCCACAUGGGAACUGAGACACGGUCCUGACUCCUACGGGAGGCAGCAGUAAGGAAUAUUGCGCAAUGGGCGAAAGCCUGACGCAGCAACGCCGCGUGAGUGAAGAAGGCCUUCGGGUCGUAAAGCUCUUUUCUGGUUGAAGAGGAAGGACAGUAAGCCAGGAAUAAGUGUCGGCUAACUACGUGCCAGCAGCCGCGGUAAAACGUAGGACGCAAGCGUUAUCCGGAGUUACUGGGCGUAAAGCGCAGGUAGGCGGUGUAUCAAGUCAGGCUUGAAAGCGCCCGGCUCAACCGGGCGAGGCGGUUCGAAACUAGAUCGCUGGGGGGCAGUAGAGGUAGGUGGAAUUCCCGGUGUAGUGGUGAAAUGCGUAGAUAUCCGGAGGAACACCAGUGGCGAAGGCGGCGCUCUGGGCUGUAACUGACGCUGAGCCGCGAAAGCAUGGGUAGCGAACGGGAUUAGAAACCCCGGUAGUCCAUGCCGUAAACGAUGUACACUGGGUGUCGGGGGAGAACCUGCAGUGCCGAAGCAAACGCGAUAAGUUGACCGCCUGGGGAGUACGGCCGCAAGGCUAAAACUCAAAGGAAUUGACGGGGACCCGCACAAGCAGCGGAGCGUGUGGUUUAAUUCGAGGCUACGCGAAGAACCUUACCAGGGUUUGACAUGGCGGUGGUAGGAAAGCGAAAAGGGACCGACCUUCGGGAGCCUAUACAGGUGCUGCAUGGCUGUCGUCAGCUCGUGCCGUGAGGUGUUCGGUUAAGUCCGGUAACGAGCGCAACCCUCGUCGUCAGUUACAAGUGUCUGGCGAGACUGCCGGUGACAAACCGGAGGAAGGUGGGGAUGACGUCAAGUCAGCAUGGCCUUUAUGUCCAGGGCUACACACACGCUACAAUGGCCGGUACAAUGGGUCGCCAACCCGCGAGGGGGAGCCAAUCCAAUAAAGCCGGUCUCAGUUCGGAUUGUAGGCUGCAACUCGCCUGCAUGAAGUCGGAGUUGCUAGUAACCGCGCGUCAGCAACAGUGCGGUGAAUACGUUCCCGGGCCUUGUACACACCGCCCGUCACGUCAUGGGAGUCGGCAAUACCUGAAGUCGGUGUGCUAACCGCAAGGAGGCAGCCGCCCAAGGUAGGGCUGGUAACUGGGAUG
rnacentral:rRNA from 1 species